GUGGCUAGUAUCGGAUUACUGGGCGUAAGCGUGCGCAGGCGGAUUGUUAAGCAAGACGUGAAAUCCCCGGGCUUAACCUGGGAAUGGCGUUUUGAACUGGCAGUCUAGAGUGUGUCAGAGGGGGGUGGAAUUCCACGUGUAGCAGUGAAAUGCGUAGAGAUGUGGAGGAACACCAAUGGCGAAGGCAGCCCCCUGGGAUAACACUGACGCUCAUGUACGAAAGCGUGGGUAGCAAACAGGAUUAGAUACCCUGGUAGUCCACGCCCUAAACGAUGUCAACUGGUUGUUGGGGGAGUGAAAUCCCUUAGUAACGAAGCUAACGCGUGAAGUUGACCGCCUGGGGAGUACGGUCGCAAGAUUAAAACUCAAAGGAAUUGACGGGGACCCGCACAAGCGGUGGAUGAUGUGGAUUAAUUCGAUGCAACGCGAAAAACCUUACCUACCCUUGACAUGUCCGGAAUCCUGCAGAGAUGCGGGAGUGCCCGAAAGGGAAUCGGAACACAGGUGCUGCAUGGCUGUCGUCAGCUCGUGUCGUGAGAUGUUGGGUUAAGUCCCGCAACGAGCGCAACCCUUAUCAUUAGUUGCUACGCAAGGGCACUCUAAUGAGACUGCCGGUGACAAACCGGAGGAAGGUGGGGAUGACGUCAAGUCCUCAUGGCCCUUAUGGGUAGGGCUUCACACGUCAUACAAUGGUCGGUACAGAGGGUUGCCAAGCCGCGAGGUGGAGCCAAUCCCAGAAAGCCGAUCGUAGUCCGGAUUGUUCUCUGCAACUCGAGAGCAUGAAGUCGGAAUCGCUAGUAAUCGCGGAUCAGCAUGUCGCGGUGAAUACGUUCCCGGGUCUUGUACACACCGCCCGUCACACCAUGGGAGUGGAAUCUGCCAGAAGUAGGUAGCCUAACCGCAAGGGGGGCGCUUACCACGGUGGGUUUCAUGACUGGGGUGAAGUCGUAACAAGGUAAC
rnacentral:rRNA from 1 species